AUUCGUUCGGGUGGAUUCUGAUCUCGUCGGUACAAGACUGAGUACAAGUCAUAGCUACGGAACUAGAGACUAUAUUAACAUUAUAUUAUACAUUAUAAGUACUGGUUUGGACUAUUGAUAGAAAAUACUAUAUUUAGUUACUUCUAGGGGGGUUUGAUAUUGUCUUUGUUUUGCUAACAAGGUAUACAUUUUGUGUCGGAGUGGAAUUAGUGUGUCCACACGGAAAGGAAGGAACAUUUAUUCGAUUCGUCUCAACUCAAACUUCAUGCAAAGGUAACUGAGGCAAAUAUGCAGUCAUUCGUCCCUUUGUUCUGACGAGAUUUAAACAGCUAUCCAAACAGCGAGGUGGGGUAAGUCUACAGCAAACAGACCUUAAUUAAAGCUGUUCUAAAAUUCCUUAUGGGAAAGAUUUAUGGGAAAAUGUGAAACAAACCAGUAUCGCAUUUUGCUGCUAGGUUUUAUGGGGAUUUUGACAUGUCGAAUAUUUUGGUCAAUACAGAUGUUUUUCAGAUGCAGGCUUUAAUGCCCUGACUGAUGACUAGUGCUGUUGCAUAUUAAGUACCCAAUUAAAGCCAAUUGGCCUUUCCCCUAAAAAGAAAAUCCCCUUCCUGAUUACAAGUAGAUAAUACUAUGUAAACUCUUUUCAGAAAAUGGUUUACCUGAGUUUGAUGUACUCCUCGUUAAUCAAAAUGCUUGAAACUAUGAAGUAUUGUUUGCAAAUCUGAACCGCUUUAAAAAAAACUUGAACGUGUGAAGUCUUUGUCCUAUGUUACAUGAGCUGAAGUAAAAAGCCUUGGCAUUUCACAUGCACACAUCUGUAUUACCAGUCAUGUGAAAUCUAGAGUUUAAGUGCUAUUUAUUGUCUUCUGUCAAUCUGAAAGUCUUGUCCUCAGAUGUAUUUACAAGUCUAUAAAACUGUUUUCCUCAAUUAUUGGCUGAUACCUAUAGCCAAUAUUCAUAUACCACAAUUGGCCGAUACCAAUGUUUUCUCAUUUCUGUACCUGUAUACCCUGGCAUAAAUUAAAUAAAAGAUGUUGCUGAUUAUGCUUCUCAUUUCAAAAAUGUUUAACUCAAUCAUUCAAAAGUGAUAUUUCUAUGUAUUUUAAUAACAAAAUAAGGAAUGGAAAAUGUAUGAAUGAUAUUAUAAAUACACAUUCCAUUUCUGUAAUUGUACAUUAUGCAAUGCCUAGAUAUAAAUGUAGUAAAUACGGUAGGUAAGUAUUUUACUGUCUUAACUGCUUUUACAAAUGUCAUUCUUGGUCUUUGGGUAAGGAGUAAUUUGCUAAGGAGUUAUUGGUUUAUUAGUUGUGUUUCUGAAGAUUAAGUGCUCACAUAUAUUUUACAGCCUUAAAAGCUAUUCAUUCUUCCAGACAGGGCAUCAGGUUCAUGUUUGGGUUCCCCAGCAAAUGUGGCAGUUAAAUUCAAAAUCUACCAGUCACUCAUCUUGGCAGCCAACCAC
ensembl:lncRNA